rnacentral:rRNA from 1 species
GAUGAACGCUGGCGGCGUGCUUAACACAUGCAAGUCGAGCGAGAGAGUUCUUCGGAACAAUCUAGCGGCGGACGGGUGAGUAACACGUGGGCAACCUGCCUCAUAGAGGGGAAUAGCCUUCCGAAAGGAAGAUUAAUACCGCAUAACAUCGUUGAAGGGCAUCCUUCGAUGAUCAAAGGAGCAAUCCGCUAUGAGAUGGGCCCGCGGCGCAUUAGCUAGUUGGUGAGGUAACGGCUCACCAAGGCGACGAUGCGUAGCCGACCUGAGAGGGUGAUCGGCCACAUUGGGACUGAGCCACGGCCCAGACUCCUACGGGAGGCAGCAGUGGGGAAUAUUGCACAAUGGGGGAAACCCUGAUGCAGCAACGCCGCGGGGGUGAUGACGGCCUUCGGGUUGUAAAGUCCUUUCGACGGGGACGAUGAUGACGGUACCCGUAGAAGAAGCCCCGGCUAACUUCGUGCCAGCCGCCGCGGUAA